CUCGCUGUGAAGAUGCAGUGUACCCGCGGCAAGACGGAAAGACCCCGUGAACCUUUACUAUAGCUUGACACUGAACAUUGAGCCUUGAUGUGUAGGAUAGGUGGGAGGCUUUGAAGUGUGGACGCCAGUCUGCAUGGAGCCGACCUUGAAAUACCACCCUUUAAUGUUUGAUGUUCUAACGUGGACCCGUGAUCCGGGUUGCGGACAGUGUCUGGUGGGUAGUUUGACUGGGGCGGUCUCCUCCUAAAGAGUAACGGAGGAGCACGAAGGUUGGCUAAUCCUGGUCGGACAUCAGGAGGUUAGUGCAAUGGCAUAAGCCAGCUUGACUGCGAGCGUGACGGCGCGAGCAGGUGCGAAAGCAGGUCAUAGUGAUCCGGUGGUUCUGAAUGGAAGGGCCAUCGCUCAACGGAUAAAAGGUACUCCGGGGAUAACAGGCUGAUACCGCCCAAGAGUUCAUAUCGACGGCGGUGUUUGGCACCUCGAUGUCGGCUCAUCACAUCCUGGGGCUGAAGUAGGUCCCAAGGGUAUGGCUGUUCGCCAUUUAAAGUGGUACGCGAGCUGGGUUUAGAACGUCGUGAGACAGUUCGGUCCCUAUCUGCCGUGGGCGCUGGAGAACUGAGGGGGGCUGCUCCUAGUACGAGAGGACCGGAGUGGACGCAUCACUGGUGUUCGGGUUGUCAUGCCAAUGGCACU
rnacentral:rRNA from 1 species